rnacentral:rRNA from 1 species
AGCUAAAAGAAUUGAAAAUAUCUUUAGUAUAGCCUGCCCAGUGAUUAGUUUAACGGCCGCAGCACCUUGACUGUGCUAAGGUAGCAUAAUAAAUUGGUUUUUAAUUAAAGUCUGGAAUGAAUGGAAUUUUAAAAUUUAGCUGUCAUAGUAUUAUUUAUUUUAACUUAUUUAUUUGGUGAAAAUACCAAAAAUUAUAGCAAAAAGACGAGAAGACCCUAAGAAUUUAAUUUUUAUUUUGUUGGGGCGACAAAUAGACAUGUUUUAUAUUAACUCUAUAAUAUGUAUAAUAUAUAACGAAUUAUUAUUAAUUAUGAAUAAAUUACCUUAGGGAUAACAGCAUAAUUAGUAUUUUAACUGUUUAUGACCUCGAUGUUGGACUAGAAAUAUUCUUAGCUAGUGCUAAUAAUUAUGUUCGUUCGAACAAUUUUCCU